GGGGCCGUGGUCUAGUGGUAUGAUUCUCGCUUAGGGCAAUUAAAACCCGAGUUUAAAGGCUUCAAUUCCUUCUAAACGCUUGCGUGAGGUCCAGGGUUCGAUUCCCUGUGGCCCCC